GGUGAGAUGGCCGAGCGGUCCAAGGCGCCAGACUAAGGUUAUAAGGUUCUAUCUUGUGCCAAGGAAAUCUGGUCUCUUCGGGGGCGGGAGUUCGAAUCUCCCUCUCAUCA